ensembl:snRNA U6 U6 spliceosomal RNA
GUGCUCACCUCGGAGGCACAUAUACUAAAAUUGGAAUGAUACAGAGAAGAUUAGUAUGGCCCCUGCAAAAGGAUGACACGUAAAUUCAUGAAGUGUUCCACAUUUUU